GAAAUAAAGCAGGAGCACCCGCUUCUCGCCUUAGUUGUUUUAAGCGACUGGGCUUGAUAAAGAUAAUUCUUUUCGUUCUAGCGACGUCAUAGAAUUUUUGGUGCGGGCUCUUGAUAAAAGAACCCGUUUUUCUGUGUUUUU
rfam:Vagococcus penaei strain CD276, complete genome.